GACGAACGCUGGCGGCGUGCUUAACACAUGCAAGUCGAACGGUAAAGCGCCUUCCUUUUUGGUGGGUGUGGAGGCGUGGCGAACGGGUGAGUAACACGUGAGUAACCUGCCCCCUUCUACUGGAUAACCGCAUGAAAGCGUGGCUAAUACGGGAUAUCCUGGGUCUGUCGCAUGGUGGGUCUGGGACAGCUAUUGUUUCUGUGGGGGAUGCGCAGGCGGUUUAUCAGCUUGUUGGUGGGGUGAAGGCCUACGAGGGCGGUGACGGGUAGCCGGCGUGGGAGGGUGGCCGGUCAGAGUGGGACUGCGACACCGCCGAGACUGCUACGGGGGGCAGCAGCGGGGGGUAUGGAGCAGUGGGCGCAAUCGUGAUGCGGCGACGCGGCGGGAGGGAUGGCGCCCCUCGGGUGAUGAACCUCUUUCGCCAGUGAAGCGGUCCUGCCUCGUUUGUGGGUGGGUUGACGGUAGUUGGUGAAGAAGCGCCGGCUAACUACGUG
rnacentral:rRNA from 1 species